CAGCACCUCAAGUGGUCAGGAUGAUUAUUGGGCCUAAAGCGUCCGUAGCCGGGCCCGUAAGUCCCUGGCGAAAUCCCACGGCUCAACCGUGGGGCUUGCUGGGGAUACUGCGGGCCUUGGGACCGGGAGAGGCCGGGGGUACCCCUGGGGUAGGGGUGAAAUCCUAUAAUCCCAGGGGGACCGCCAGUGGCGAAGGCGCCCGGCUGGAACGGGUCCGACGGUGAGGGACGAAGGCCAGGGGAGCGAACCGGAUUAGAUACCCGAGUAGUCC
rnacentral:rRNA from 1 species